GAGGGUGAGUCGGUAAGACCACUGCCCAAGCAGGGUCCCACUCCGAGCUCUGAGAAAGGGGUCGCUCCUCUGGCCGAGAGUCCCUGGAAUGCCAGCCUGCUGGCAAGUUUAUUUGCACCGCGUUAGUCCUUUUAUGUCAGCCGCAGCAUCCAUCAAACGCUUCUAAAAGGGCCUACCGCAAACUGAGCCGGCGGACGCAGAAAGCAUGUCUGCUUCCUUCUGCCACUCAGCUCCCUGCCCCCAAGGACAGUGGAGAGAUGGGAAUGUGAGCUUCUAAAUCCACGCAAAGGAAGGACCUGAAAGGGGCAGAGAAGCGGUCCCUCCUCGCCGGCACCUGCAGCCUGCGCCUCUCCACCCGCCCUCUGGGAGGGGCUCGGCAUCCUCCCACCCCGGACGCUGGAACCGGUCCUUCGCGGGUCCGCCAGCCCCUCGGAGAGUUUGGUUCACUCCAGCCGGGAGCUUCCCUUCCACCCCCUGCUCGCACUCACGCUCCACGUCAUGCAGCUUUGCCCGCUCCUCCUCUAGCUUGCCCUUGAGGCUCUCGGCCUCGCUCUUCAGCGACGCCAGCGUCUCGUUCUCGUGCAGCCCAUCGGUUGCCAUCUUCGUCCGGAUGCAGCCGGGAGAGAAACGCAAAGCGGGAGACUGUGAGUCGAUGCGGGGGCCCGACGGGAGGGCGGGAGCAGCAGCAGCCUCCGUGACCCCAACGCCGCCCGGGGCCCGCCCCCUCGGCAGUGACGCGACCGCAGCGGUGACGGACUCUGCUGGCUCCGCCUACCGCGCCCUCCCUGAGAACCGGCGAUGCUCGGAGGUUUCAGAUAGCCCAGCCCAGGCCUCAAAUUUGUGAAGCACCGGAGAGUAUCCUGGAACAUCUCGAUCCUCCUUCCUCCAACUUCGGAGUGCUGAGGUUAAAGGCAUGCACCACCAUGCCUGGCUUAUGCAGUGCUAAGAAUGGAACGCAGGACUUUGUGCAUGCUAGGCAAGCACUCUACCUACCCAGCUCCCUCCAGCCUGGAGAGCCAUUAUAAAACUUUCACAAAUGUUCCUCCCUUUGGUGUAAAAUUUUAGAUUAAAGACAAGAGUUAGAAAAAUGGGCCUGAGUCCAGCCAGAGGGGAAAGGCCAUUUGUGUGGCAUUGGCUUCCUACAAAGUACACAUUUGUAUCUGUUAAACCCACCAGCCGAACACCCAGGGCCCCAGCCUGUAGUUGUGUGCGCAGAAUGGUUUAGGCCUGGGAGGAUAGCAGUGUUGGGAAACAGCUUCACUGGGGGCUAUAGACCUGGCUCCUGGUCGCCCAGGUCUUGGCCCGUUGGUGAGGUCAGUAGACGUGACUCCCCUGAAGCUUUGUUUGCUAAUCUAUCAAAUAAAUAUCUUUAAACCG
rnacentral:lncRNA from 1 species